CCUACGGGUGGCAGCAGUGGGGAAUAUUGCGCAAUGGGCGAAAGCCUGACGCAGCGACGCCGCGUGAGGGAUGAAGGUCUUCGGAUCGUAAACCUCUGUCAGCAGGGAAGAACGGUCACUGUGCUAAUCAGCAGUGAAUUGACGGUACCUGCAAAGGAAGCACCGGCUAACUCCGUGCCCGCAGCCGCGGUAAUACGGAGGGUGCGAGCGUUAAUCGGAAUUACUGGGCGUAAAGCGCGCGUAGGCGGUAGGUCAAGUCAAGGGUGAAAUCCCCGCGCUCAACGUGGGAACUGCCUUUGAAACUGGCAAACUGGAGUGUGGGAGAGGUUAGUGGAAUUCCAGGUGUAGGAGUGAAAUCCGUAGAUAUCUGGAGGAACAUCAGUGGCGAAGGCGACUAUCUGGCACAUAACUGACGCUGAGGAGCGAAAGCGUGGGGAGCAAACAGGAUUAGAUACCCCAGUAGUC
rnacentral:rRNA from 1 species